GCAUAUUUUAACAGAAAUUAAAAGUGAAGUUCUUCAGCAAUUUUUGAACUUAGGCCUCCGCAACAGCCAAGAAAAAGAUUCAACAAGUGCCAUAUUUCACACAAAUCAAUAACAGUUGAUUAUAUUAAAACAUAUUUUUUAACACCGCAUAGCUACUCAAUGCUCUAGAAGGUCAUUUAGUUCUUUAUAUACUUUUUUGUUCUCCUACUAUAUUAA